rnacentral:misc_RNA from 1 species
UGUGGGAGCUGGCUUGCCUGCGAUAGCACCACCUCGGUAUCACUGAUGCACCGAGUUGCUGCUAUCGCAGGCAAGCCAGCUCCCACA